GGCUGGUCCAAUGGUAGUGGGUUAAGAACUUAUUAACAUUAGUGUCACUAAAGUUGGUAUUCAACCCCCCACUGCUAAAUUUGACUGGCUUUAA
rnacentral:Y_RNA from 1 species